GAUCAGUGAGAUAGUUGACAUUCUUCAUUUCGUAUGAAAGCUUCAAACCCUGGUGUGUGUCUUACGCGAAUGGCUCACCUCAUUUUGUAAAAGCCACAUCACGAGUGCUCAACAGUCACAUAUAACUCGUGGCUGCCACACUGGAUAAUGCUGUGCCUCCACUUGCUGGAUUCAAUAGUUAAGGAAGGGCUGGAAAGUUCCAGAGCCAGAAACUGCAACUGAUUUUCCCUCUCAUACUGCUUUUCAGCCCCCAACCCAGUGAGAAACCUGACAGUGAAGGCCCAGACCACCAGCUCCAUCACCCUGAGCUGGGAGGCCCCCGAGGGCACAGACCCACAGAACUCCACCUACUGGGUUGAGUGCACCGGAGACGGUGGCAGAACGGAGACUCGAAGCACAACAGACACCAACGUCACCGUGGAUGGACUUGAACCCGGGUCUCUAUAUGCCUGUUCCGUGUGGGUGCAGAAGAAUGGAAUCAACAGCUCCCAGGAGACUCGAAAUGCCACCACAGCCCCCAACCCAGUGAGAAACCUGACCGUGGAGGCCCAGACCACCAGCUCCAUCACCCUGAGCUGGGAGGCCCCUGAGGGCCCAGACCCACAGAACUCCACCUACUGGGUUGAGGGCACCGGAGACAGUGGCAGAACGGAGACCCGAAGCACAACAGACACCAACGUCACCGUGGAUGGACUUGAACCCGGGUCCUUAUAUAAGUUUUCUGUGUGGGUAGAGAAAAAUGGAGUAAAUAGCUCUGAGGAGACUGUCACUACUGCCACGGGUAAGAGGCGGCCACUGCUUCAUGUUUUCUUCU